ACAGAGAUCCGCCUGGCUCUGCCUCCCGAGUGCUGGGAUUAAAGGUGUGUGCCACCACCGCCUGGCUAGGGUUUGGACAUCUCUUAUGUACCCCCAACUUAGUACCCCAGCACCUCAUUUUCCACGCUUUUCACAUCUUACCCGGAUAAAAACCAUGUAGGGGUGAGUUGACUUAGUUUUCUCCAUGCUUAAGACCCUUCCAGCAGGACUCUGGACAGCCACUACCAGCUACUACCAGUCACUGCGCCUGCGCAGGCGGCUGCAGCUGCACCUGUUGCUCACCAGGCCUGACAUUGAGAGGGGCAGGGCCCUAGCCUUGGGUGGGACAAGAGUGGGAAUGAGGGUCGGGGUAGAAAGGCAGAGGACUGGGCAGCUGUUGACUAAAGGAAAAGAGAGACUGAGAACCACGUAGCCCUAAACUAGCCAAUUGGGACAUUUUUUUUCAAACCUGGUUGACCGGGGAACCAGAGAUUAACCUGGUUUCCCCCUCGGGGUCCCUUGAUAGAGAAAGGUAGAGGAGAAGACGAUGAUGUGUUCUGUUUUGUUUGUUCAAAAAGUUUGCUGCUGUGUACUUUAGCGGGACAAUUAUCUUGUGGCGUGUGUUGAGACACAGUGAACACUGGAAGGUCACCAGGAUGUAAUCCUGCCUUCAGGACAUUUACCCUCAGUCCAGUUUGGUUUCCUAUGUGCAAGUUCCUAGCAUGAGCGCACAGCAGAAGCGCUUCGAGUCCAUCGUUUUUAGUGCAAAGAUGUUGCCUUUAGUGCCCAUGUGACACUGUGUCUUUCUCUCUUCUCUCCCCUCCUACUCUCUGUCUUCUCUGAGGUCUGAGGACAACUUGCAGGAGUCUGUUCUCUCCAUCGACCACGGGAGUCCUGGGGAUGGUACUCGGAUUCAGACCUGGCAGCAAGUGCCUUUAUUCCCUGAGCCAUCUUGCCUGUCCAAAGCCUCUCUUAUUAGGUGCAGUGUUACACUGCUUCCAUAUUGACUAAACAACUGAGAGCUGCAUCAUUGGCUUUAAGCCAGAUACAGGACUAAACAUAUCUGCAGAGCAAGGUUUAUUAUUCCCAUUUUACAGGUUGGGUGCUGUGAAACAAUCUUUGUACACUGCAAAUAGGUAUUGCUCUCAUGAUUAAAGCUGACUGGCUGAUAGGCAGGAUUUUCAAGGCAGAGAGAAUGCUGGGAAGAAGGAGUCAGAGGAGUCUCCAGAGACGCAGAGAGAAGCAAGAUGAAUGUGCCAUGUUGAAAGAAGACAAAAACAAGGCCUUCGAGGACUUCAUUCACAACUAUGACCGCCAGGCAGCCAUCUGCUUCUCCCAGGCUCCACACAACAAGCAGCACAAAGGUGUUUAUUGUUAGACUUGUCACCUCAGUGACUGGGACACCAUCCCUGCCUGCCUGGUUGUGUUCACUACACACUGUGCCCU